GCCUACGGGAGGCAGCAGUGAGGAAUAUUGGUCAAUGGGCGGUAGCCUGAACCAGCCAAGUAGCGUGAAGGAUGAAGGUUCUAUGGAUUGUAAACUUCUUUUAUAAAGGAAUAAAGUGAGGCACGUGUGCCUUUUUGUAUGUACUUUAUGAAUAAGGAUCGGCUAACUCCGUGCCAGCAGCCGCGGUAAUACGGAGGAUCCGAGCGUUAUCCGGAUUUAUUGGGUUUAAAGGGUGCGUAGGCGGGACGGUAAGUCAGCGGUAAAAAUGCGGAGCUCAACUCCGUCGAGCCGUUGAAACUGCCGUU
rnacentral:rRNA from 1 species